rnacentral:rRNA from 1 species
AAUAGAUACCCAGGUAGUCCACGCCGUAAACGAUGAGUGCUAAGUGUUAGAGGGUUUCCGCCCUUUAGUGCUGCAGCUAACGCAUUAAGCACUCCGCCUGGGGAGUACGGUCGCAAGACUGAAACUCAAAGGAAUUGACGGGGGCCCGCACAAGCGGUGGAGCAUGUGGUUUAAUUCGAAGCAACGCGAAGAACCUUACCAAGUCUUGACAUCCUCUGACAACUCUAGAGAUAGAGCGUUCCCCUUCGGGGGACAGAGUGACAGGUGGUGCAUGGUUGUCGUCAGCUCGUGUCGUGAGAUGUUGGGUUAAGUCCCGCAACGAGCGCAACCCUUGAUCUUAGUUGCCAGCAUUUAGUUGGGCACUCUAAGGUGACUGCCGGUGACAAACCGGAGGAAGGUGGGGAUGACGUCAAAUCAUCAUGCCCCUUAUGACCUGGGCUACACACGUGCUACAAUGGAUGGUACAAAGGGCUGCAAGACCGCGAGGUCAAGCCAAUCCCAUAAAACCAUUCUCAGUUCGGAUUGUAGG